AUUGAACGCUGGCGGCAUGCUUUACACAUGCAAGUCGAACGGGGUGGAGGGGCAACCUUCCAUUCAGUGGCGAACGGGUGAGUAAUGCAUCGGAACGUGUCCCGUAGUGGGGGAUAACGCCGGGAAACCGGCGCUAAUACCGCAUAUGCUCUACGGAGGAAAGUGGGGGACCUGAAAGGGCCUCACGCCAUGGGAGCGGCCGAUGUCCGAUUAGCUAGUUGGCGGGGUAAAGGCCCACCAAGGCGACGAUCGGUAGCUGGUCUGAGAGGAUGAGCAGCCACACUGGGACUGAGACACGGCCCAGAUUCCUACGGGAGGCAGCAGUGGGGAAUUUUGGACAAUGGGGGCAACCCUGAUCCAGCCAUGCCGCGUGCGGGAAGAAGGCCUUCGGGUUGUAAACCGCUUUUAGCCGGAAAGAAAAGGCGGAGGCUAAUACCCUCCGUUCUUGACGGUACCGGCGGAAUAAGCACCGGCUAACUACGUGCCAGCAGCCGCCGUAA
rnacentral:rRNA from 1 species